ACAAAAAUAUUGUGUUUGGUCAUUUAUUUAUUGAGGAAAAUGAUCCAAUAUUACAUAUCUGUGAGGGGCAAUGGUAUGUGAACCUUUGCUUUCAGUAUCUGAUGUGACCCCCUUGUGCAGCAAUAACUGUAACUAAACAUUUCCAGUAACUGUUGAUCAGUCCUGCACAUCGGCUUGGAGGAAUUUUAGCCCAUUCCUCAAUAAAGAACAACUUCAACUCUGGGAUGUUGGUGGGUUUCCUCACAUGAUUCAUGUUUCCUCAAUUGCUUCAGGUUCUUCCACAACAUUUCUAACCCUAACCCCUAAGGUCAGGACUUUGACUUGACUAUUCCAAAACAUUAACUUUAUUCUUUUUUAACCAUUCAUUGGUAGAAUGACUUGUGUGCUUAGGGUCGUUGUCUUGCUGUAUGACCCACUUUCUCUUCAGAUUCAGUUCAUGUACUGAUGUCCUGACAUUAUCCUUUAGAAUUCGCUAGUAUAAUUCAGAAUUCAUUACUUCAUCAAUGAUGGCAAGCUGUCCAGGCCCAGAUGCAGCAAAACUGGCCCAAACCAUGAUACUACCACCACCAUGUUUCACAGAUGGGAUAGUGUUCUUAUGCUGGAAUACAGUGUGUUCCUUUCUCCAAACAUAAUUCUUCUCAUUUAAACCAAAAAUUCUAUUUUGCUCUCAUCCACCACAAAACAUUGUUCUUUUUGGAGAGCAGCGUCUUUCUCUUUACAACACUGCCAUGCACAACAUUGUUCUUCAGUGUUCUCCUGAUGGUGGGCUCAUGAACAAUGUGUAGCCAAUGUGAGAUAGGCCUUUAGUUGCUUAGAAGUAACCCUGGCUCCUUUGUGACCUUGCGGACUUACACGUCUUGCUCUUGGAGUGAUCUUUGUUGGUCGAAUACUCCUGGGGAGAGUAACAAUGGUUUUAAAUUUCCUCCAUUUAUACACAAUCUGUCUUUGGAUUGGUGAAGUCCAAACUGUUUAGAGAUUUAAAGUUUUCCAGCUUGAUGGGCAUCAGCAACUCUUUUUUCGGGGUCCACAGAAUGUGUUGUAAAGAUCAGACUUUGAUACUUUAAAUGCUGUAUUUUACAUAAAACACAAGGUGCUCACUCACACCUGAUUGUCAUUGCAUUAAUUGAAAACAACUGACUCCAAUUUCACCUUCAAAUUAACUGCUAAUCCUAGAGUUUCACAUACUUUUUGCCAUUCACAGAUAUGUAAUAUUGGAGAAUUUUCUUGAAUAAAAACAUGACCAAGUAUAAUAUUUUAUUUCAUUUGUUUGAUUUAAUUCUCUCUGUCUACUUUUAGGACUUGUGAAAAUCUGAUGAUGUUUAAGGUAUAUGCGUAAGGUUUAUGCAGAUAUAGACAAUUCUAAAGGGUUCACAAACUUUCAAGCACCACUGUAGCAUUUUUGGAAGGAGUAUCCAGUGUCAGAGCUUUGCAUCAGUCAUGGCUGUAAAGGCUUAAUUUGAGCUGGAUCCUGCCGGAACAGGAUCCAGCACUUCCAAAAUGUAUCACGCCUGUGUUCCGGAACCUUUUUAUGUGGAUGCGGCACUUCUGCACCUGGAUGUUUAAAGUCUCACGCAGCAAUAUUAUCAAAACAAAUAGUUUUAAUUUUUAAUUCACCAAAAGUAAAAUAGAACAACAUAAAACACUGCAAUGAAAAUGCUAAUCUUAUAUUACCGCUGCUCAAAUAUUGCUAAUAGCCAAUCAAUAGCCUCUUUCACGUAACGUAAUCAUUUCAAGUUCAAAGGUCACCUGAAUUCAUUCUCAUGAAGCAAAGCCUACAGUCACGCAGCACGCGUAGAUGGUGAACAGAAAACAGUUAUCAUUAACAGCAUUUACUUAAGAAGACAAACAACAAUGAGAAAACAGACCAAAGAGUCCAAGAGAGCGAGCAGCAGCAUGUCACUGAUUAAGCAGCUUGGCGACUGUUCCCAGGACUAGCAUUGAUAAUGCUAGUCUGAUUGUGGAAGGUUUUUAGGAGACUUUACGAGGCUAAAUGUUGUCAACCUGUACAUGGCUUUGAAAGUGAGACUGAUUGCCCACAAUUAACAGCCCAUGUACUGUCAUUCAGGAUCUUAGGGAGUACAGGGACUCAAAUACACAAAAAGUUCAACUGAGGCAGUUUUUGGCUACCAUAAAAUCUCAAGUGGAGUAUUCUCCAAAAUGAAUCUCAUUUGUAGCUCGCAGCAUGAAUUCCUUCUAAUCCCCACCAUUUCAUCUCAGAUGUUUUUGAACAUCGUGGGUCCACCCCUUACAAAGGUCAAUCCUAAGCCAUUUGUGCGUUCAUAGAUGCAUAAGGGACACAGGGAAGAGGAGGAGGACACUGACAUGACAGCAUUGUGGAAUAUUUUGUGUUAGGAAAAUCAGGACUGUGGCAGAGAGUUUCAGCCAGACUCAAUAGGAAAGUGCAGGAUCAACCCAUGUGAGAGCUCUAUACUGACCCAUAGUGGUGAUGCUACUACAACUAGUUGACAUCCCAAAAGCGAUGACUAGCAAGAUGGGGAUCAAAAUUGUGUGGCUUAUGAUGCAAAUUUGGCAGGGAGGUGCAUCCUGACCACUAUUCAAGCAAGAAAUUCAACCCUACCGGCCAGAUGAUAGGACUAUAGCAGAUGUAUUCAAACGUUUCGCAGUGAGCCACAUUUCCUAGCGGAAGCCUUUUUUUUUUUUUUACCUAUUAUGAACAGGAAAUUAAAAUUCAAUAAAAUAAAACAACAUGAAAACAUGUCUUCUAAUACAGCAGAAGGGCUGGUAAACACAGGGAACAGUAUGAAACAUAACGGUACAUUUUCUAAAUAAUGCUUUUACAAAUCACUUCUCUAAUAUCCCUUGUGAAGUUUGGUUCAUCUGCCCAU